UACGAAGGGGGCUAGCGUUGUUCGGAAUCACUGGGCGUAAAGCGCACGUAGGCGGAUCUUUAAGUCAGGGGUGAAAUCCCGAGGCUCAACCUCGGAACUGCCUUUGAUACUGGGGAUCUCGAGUCCGGGAGAGGUGAGUGGAACUGCGAGUGUAGAGGUGAAAUUCGUAGAUAUUCGCAAGAACACCAGUGGCGAAGGCGGCUCGCUGGCCCGGAACUGACGCUGAGGUGCGAAAGCGUGGGGAGCAAACAGG
rnacentral:rRNA from 1 species